UGCAAGCAACUAUAGCUAAGUGUGGGGGUUGGAGAGAAGGAGUAAUGACUGUCAUGGAGGCAGGGAUUGCUCUCUGGGGUGUGGACAGACGCCCAGUGCCAAGCAAGGAAUGAGGGUGUGGCCGCACUACUCAGCUAGUCCCUCAGACAAGGGGCUCAAAAGAGCAUCAUAGCACAUGUUGGUUAGGAUUCUCUAUAGGCACAGAGCCCCAAUUGGGGAUUUGUCACAGGAAUAGAAACCUGGCUGACAAAGGAAGGUUAGACACAUGGGAAAAGACCUGCAGAACACAUGCACAGAGGACAGAUCAUGUGACCAGGAUAAGUCAGCUGAUUUCCAUUGCUGCUGCUGGUGCCGGGAAGUGCAGAGCCAAAUGAUCAGUUGGAGUGACCACAGUGCCUGGAGUGAGUCCACAUUUGGGGAAUAUGAUACCAGAUCAGUAUAGGAGUGAG
rnacentral:lncRNA from 1 species